rnacentral:rRNA from 1 species
AUUGAACGCUGGCGGCAUGCUUUACACAUGCAAGUCGAACGGUAACAGGGGCUUCGGCCCGCUGACGAGUGGCGAACGGGUGAGUAAUGUAUCGGAACGUGCCCAGUAGUGGGGGAUAACUACUCGAAAGAGUAGCUAAUACCGCAUGAGAACUGAGGUUGAAAGCGGGGGAUCUUCGGACCUCGCGCUACUGGAGCGGCUGAUAUCAGAUUAGGUAGUUGGUGAGGUAAAGGCUUACCAAGCCUGCGAUCUGUAGCUGGUCUGAGAGGACGACCAGCCACACUGGGACUGAGACACGGCCCAGACUCCUACGGGAGGCAGCAGUGGGGAAUCUUGGACAAUGGGCGCAAGCCUGAUCCAGCAAUGCCGCGUGCAGGACGAAGGCCUUCGGGUUGUAAACUGCUUUUGUACAGAACGAAAUGUCUCUGGCUAAUACCUGGGGAAGAUGACGGUACUGUAAGAAUAAGCACCGGCUAACUACGUGCCAGCCGCCGCGGUAA